rnacentral:rRNA from 1 species
GUAGCAUGCAGUGCAGAAUAGGUCUGUUGGACGAAUCUGCGAAUAGCUCAUUACAGUGCUGAUCAAGGACUCAGUUUUGUGCCAUUCGGAUACCCACGGAAAAUCUGUGAGUAAUACGUGAGGCCACCAAUCGGUCAAUCCGCCAUAAGAUUGAACCAACGCUAAAUUGUCAUUCUGGCGGACGCAUUGCAAAUCUGCAGGAAACUGAUUCUGUUUGUAUCCUAUCAGCUUCGUUGGUAGAAUAGGGGUCUACCAAGGCUACUACGGGUUACGGGGAAUUAGGGUUUGAUUCCGGAGAGGGAGCCUGAGAAAUGGCUACCACAUCUAAGGAUGGCAGCAGGCGCGCAAAUUACCCAAUCCCCACUGGGGGAGGUAGUGAGUGAAAAUAACGGCGUCCCAUAUUUUGGGGUGACUGUAAUGACAUGAAAUUAUAACCAUCGUGAAACAUCCAUUGGAGGAAAGUUCUGGGUAAAAAACAGGGCUAGUAAAUGGUAAUUAGCCGAUGUAUCCUGAUAAAAAGGAAGCGAAUUCGGUCCCUUGGCCGAGCACCCG